GCUGGGCAUGGUGGCGGGUGCCUGUAAUCCCAGCUACUCGGGAGGCUGAGGCAGGAGAAUCGCUUGAACCCAGGAAGUGGAGGUUGCAGUGAGCUAAGAUCGUGCCACUGCACUCUAGCCUGGGUGACAGAGUGAGACUCUGUCUCAA
rnacentral:SRP_RNA from 2 species